rnacentral:rRNA from 1 species
AGACGGAGGGUGCAAGCGUUGUUCGGAAUCACUGGGCGUAAAGCGCGUGUAGGCGGUUUGUUAAGUUAGUUGUUAAAGACCACGGCUCAACCGUGGAAAGGCAGCUGAUACUGAUGAGCUAGAGCGCAGAAGAGAGGAGUGGAAUUCCCGGAGUAGCGGUAAAAUGCGUAGAUCUCGGGAGGAACACCGGUUGCGAAGGCGGCUUCUUGGUCUGUGGCUGACGCUAAAGUACGAAAGCGUGGGGAGC